ensembl:lncRNA
GGGUAAGAAAGAGAAAGAGUGUGUGAGAGAGAGAGAGAGAGAGAGAGAGAGAGAGAGAGAGAGAAAGAGGGAGGGAGGGUGGAGUUUGGAGUUUAGGGUUAGGGUGUGGGGAAAGACUAGGCCCGGCUAUGCCGGAACCUAAGUGCACGGUCCAUCCAUGGGACUGGUAUUGGUGCCCCCUGAUCAAAAAAUUACCCUAAGCGGGUGUAGUGCACUGUGGUGGGCCUUCGCGACGUUUCGGCUUCUCUGAGCCUUCUUCAGGCUGGCCCACCCGCUUUUGUGUUCUGUUUCGCCACUCUGGGCCUUUUAUACUUUUCUUUUUCCUUUUCGUUUUUCUUAACUUUUUCUGUUUCUUAGUUUUUUCUUGUUCUCAGCUUUGGCUGCUUACUCUCCCUUUUUCUAUCUUUUUCUGUUGUUCUUUAUCUUUCUGUUUUUCUUUAUCCUUCCCUUUGUAUUUCUGUUAUUCUUUAUUCUUGUUCUUUAUUCUUUCUGUUUUUCUUUAUCUUUCCCUUUGUAUUCUGUUGUUCUUUAUUCUUUCUGUUCUUUAUUAUUCCUCUUAAUUUCUCUUGUGUUCUUUCUUUUAUUCUUUCUCAUAUUUCUUUAAAUGGCACCCCCUUCUCUUUAGACAUCCCGUCCGUGGUCUAUAUUUUUCUUUUAUGGCACCCCCUUCCUGUAAAUCCUUUCCUUUUGUACUUUGUCUUUUUUCUGACCUUUCUUGGGUUAGGGUUAGGGGUUAGGGUUAGGGGGGGUUAGGUUAGGGGCCUAUUGAUCUUGUACAGUCACUAUUGUGAGUCCGGUGCACUGGCAACAGCUGCCUGGUCACUGUCACUCAUGUCUCACCCCUUGUGGCAAACCAGUCUAUUAUCACUCUCAUUAGAAGAAAAAAAAUUCAAUUGAAGACACAAUAUUCUUUUUUUUUUUUUUUUUUUUUUUUUUUUUUUUUUUUUUUUUUUUUUGCCCCAGCAUGUACCUCUCCAACUUUUAUUGUCAUGUCAAGAGUCUCACAAAGCAGCAAUAAUUGUCAAUACAAUUGAAAGGGAGCAAUUCAGACUGCGUUCAGGCCCCGUGGAUGUUGAGUUCGCAGUCUGGAAAUCCACAAUCUCUCAUAUCUCCUCCUCUGGCCCUCCGUCCAUGUCGCACAGGUUUGAAGUCCCGUUAUACUGAGAUGUUGUAAUGUGUGAAUUUGGAAGUGCAAUACUAGUGGAGUGUCCAGUCCAUUCCUCUCAAUAUUGUAAAUAUGUUGUUUUAACCUCUCCAACAGAGUUUGACCUGUUUCACCCACAUAGAGUAGACCACAUUCUUCGCAACAGAUGCAAUAAACGAUGUUGCUCGUGUUUAGGGACAUUCUCUGUAAGAUGGGUGCCCCUAUUUUCCCAUAAGGAUUAUACAAGAACCGUUUCGGUUGAAAGGCCCAAUGAUUGGGUUUCCCCGAUCUUAUACGUCUCAUCUGUUCUGGCAACUUGGCCCUGACGAGCAUAUCUCUCAGAUUCUUGUUCCUCCUGUGGGCUGAAAUCACUCUGCAGUCUUGGAGUCGUAUCAAACCAGAGGUGUAUUUCUUAAAGUUUGUUUUGAGUUGAUGAUGCAAUGGUAGGUGAGAACGCGAGUAAGUGGUAACUAAUGGCAUAAGUCUAUUCUGUUCUCCCUGUUGUAUCUGAUUUUGAGUCUGAUUUCCCCUCAUUGCAUUAGAGUUUAGUCCAGCAAGGGUGCUGCUCUUAAUUGUUCUAAGGAACCUACUAGAAUAUCCCCUCUUCCUGAGGCUCCGGAAUAAUAUGCCAAUUGCAUCCUGAAGAUCUGAUUCCUUUGAAGAAAUUCUAUAGAACCUGAUGAUUUGGGACUUUAUGAUAC